CAAAAGGCCUGGGCCUUGGGCAUCCCAAAAAGGCCAAAUUUUAGGGGCACUCCACUAAUUUUUAUAUUUGGGCUUGACUAGAAGUCUUUUUGGCCCGAUAGAAUGGAAAAAAGAGGCCCAUUCCAAUUAAAAUCUGGCUGUGGCCCAUAGAUCCAGUCAAAGCCCAAAAAAUGCUCGGUGGCAUUUUUGUAAAUAAGUGAUCUACAUGGUCUUUAAUUGAAACCCUUCCUCUCAAACAUUUCACCGGCUCACUCUCACCCAAAACAAAACAAAAAAUUAACGAAGAAAAAAAAGAGGGGAAGCUGAAAUUGAUCUGAAAGACUGAAACGGACGAUCGAUUCCCACCCUUCUCUAGUUCUCUACUUCUCUGUGUUCGAGAUUUUCACCAAACGAAGGACCGAAGACCGAAGGGGGAGCUGCCGAACUGGGAUUUUGGGCUGGCCUUGAGUCUGUGUCUGUGUUCGAGAUUCGAGCUCGAGGACCAGUAUAUACUACUAGUAUAAUAUACAUUGCGGAGUCUUAGAGUCCCAUUCGCUUGCGACUUGCGAGGCUUCAAAUCGGUGCAUCAUGCCUAAACGUCAACUAUCUGGUCAUCAGAAAAGAAUAAAGAAGCAAAAGACUGAAGCAUUAAUAAAUUCUCAAAAAGGGGCUAUUAAAAAGUUCUUUUCAAGCAACGAAAAUGUACAAAGUUCAGUCGAAGAACGCGAAAAUUUGGUGAUUGAUGUCGCUGAAAAC